rnacentral:rRNA from 2 species
GGAUGCGAUCAUACCAGCAGUAAAGCACCGGAUCCCAUCAGAAAUCCGAAGUUAAGCAUGCUUGGGCGAGAGUAGUACUAGGAUGGGUGACCUCCUGGGAAGUCCUCGUGUUGCAUUCC